rnacentral:lncRNA from 1 species
ACCUCAUCACCUCAGGGUGGCCCUUGGCAGCAGCCAUGUGCAGGAUUGUCCUAGACUCAGGCUGGGCUGGUCACCCACAAGGUGUCCCCCAGCCAUCCCCGGGGCAGCCUUGCUGGGAAAACUUAGAGUGAAGGAGUGAAGGGCGUGAGCCUUGGCCAGACUGCCUGGGUUGGAAUCCCGGCUCUGCCAUGGAUCUGCCGUGAGUCUCAGCCAGCCACUUUCCUUUCCGGGCCUCAGUUUCCUUAUCUGUCAAAUGGGAAUGGUAUGGUGCGCAACUGUAUGAGGGGUCAUGCGUGACACGUGGAUUGUGCUGUCAGGAGCUCGGGGGAGUACGUGCCCCUGGAAAGCACUAGAGCCAUGCCAGCGUUCAGUGAGCUCUGUGAGGUGACAGGAAGCUCCCAAGGCCAGGCCUAGGGCUUCUGGUGCGUGGGCAGGGGAGCGGAGACAGCUUCCUCUUUUGAAAGGUUGGCAGGAGCGAAGUGGAGGCUGAUGGAUGUAGGAGAAGAUCUCACACAGGCUGGGGGGCAAGUGUGGGUGCCCUGAGGUGCCCAGGGAGGGGAGCGUAAGGCAGGGCAGACCCGGGAGGGCCACGAGUGCCAGGCGAGGAGCAUGGUGGCUUCCAUCCUGAGGGUGAUACGGCCAUGAGGGGUUUAAUAGGUGGGGCAGGGUCAGCUCAGGGGGCCCAGAUAUGGGGGGAGACCAGCCUGGGAGCAUCUGGGGACACUUUCUGGAAGACGUGAGUACUACAGCACUAAGAGUUUGCUAGAAGGGCAGGAAUGAAGGGCCCUCCCAGUACAAAGGGGCGAAGACGGUGGUGAACUGCGGGGAAGGGGUGAAGACGGUGGUGAACUGCAGGGAAGGGGUGAAGACGGUGAACUGCGGGGAAGGGGCGAAGACGGUGGUGAACUGCAGGGAAGGGGUGAAGACGGUGGUGAACUGCGUGGGGAAGGGGUGAAGACGGUGGUGAACUGCGAACUGCGCGGGGUAGGGGUGAAGA